UACGGGGGGGGGCAAGCGUUGUUCGGACUUACUGGGCGUAAAGGGCUCGUAGGCGGCCAACUAAGUCGGAUGUGAAAUCCCCAGGCUUAACCUGGGAAUUGCAUCCGAUACUGGAUGGCUUGGAUCCGGGAGAGGGAUGCGGAAUUCCAGGUGUAGCGGUGAAAUGCGUAGAUAUCUGGAGGAACACCGGUGGCGAAGGCGGCAUCCUGGACCGACACUGACGCUGAGGAGCGAAAGCCAGGGGAGCAAACGGG
rnacentral:rRNA from 1 species